rnacentral:rRNA from 1 species
AUGGUCGCCGAGGCGGUCGGGUUCAUGAUGUCCCGCGCGGCGGACGGCGGGGCCAUGGCGCCGGAGCUCGUCACCCGGGGCUUCCUCGGCGGCUGCCAGGCGCCCGCCGCCGACGACGACCCACGCUCUGUUUUCUCUCUUCGCGUGUUGGCUUUCGCUUCUUCCUCUUCCCUGCUCAAUUGGGAUUGGACCGGACCGUACGCACUCUAG